AUCAAGCAGGAUGAAGAUGAUGAAGAUGAAGAGAAUGAGGAAGGUGGAUUGAGCAAGUCUGGGAAGGAGUUGAAGAAGCUACUUGGGAGAGCUGGUGGAUUGAAUGAUUCAGAUGCAGAAGAUGAUGAUGAUGAUGAGGAUAUGGAUGAAGAUGUUGGUGUUUCUUCUGUAUUAGCUCCAAAGAAGGAUGCACCAAAGGAGGAACCUGCUGACAACAGUCCUACAAAACCAAUACCUUCUGGUUCUGCUAAAGGGAC
rnacentral:misc_RNA from 1 species